rnacentral:rRNA from 1 species
CAUGUGGUUUAAUUCGAUGCAACGCGAAGAACCUUACCUGGUCUUGACAUCCACAGAAGAAUCCAGAGAUGGAUUUGUGCCUUCGGGAACUGUGAGACAGGUGCUGCAUGGCUGUCGUCAGCUCGUGUUGUGAAAUGUUGGGUUAAGUCCCGCAACGAGCGCAACCCUUAUCCUUUGUUGCCAGCGGUUAGGCCGGGAACUCAAAGGAGACUGCCAGUGAUAAACUGGAGGAAGGUGGGGAUGACGUCAAGUCAUCAUGGCCCUUACGACCAGGGCUACACACGUGCUACAAUGGCGCAUACAAAGAGAAGCGACCUCGCGAGAGCAAGCGGACCUCAUAAAGUGCGUCGUAGUCCGGAUUGGAGUCUGCAACUCGACUCCAUGAAGUCGGAAUCGCUAGUAAUCGUGGAUCAGAAUGCCACGGUGAAUACGUUCCCGGGCCUUGUACACACCGCCCGUCACACCAUGGGAGUGGGUUGCAAAAGAAGUAGGUAGCUUAACCUUCGGGAGGGCGCUUACCACUUUGUGAUUCAUGACUGGGGUGAAGUCGUAACAAGGUAACCGUAGGGGAACCUGCGGUUGGA